CCCUUAGAUGUUCUGGGCCGCACGCGCGCUACACUGACGAAGUCAGCGAGCAUGUCCUACGCCGACAGGUGCGGGGAAUCUUGUCAAACUUCGUCGUGAUGGGGAUUGAUUAUUGAAAUUCUUGAUCAUCAACGAGGAAUUCCUAGUAAGCGCAAGUCAGCAGCUUGCGUUGAUUACGUCCCUGCCCUUUGUACACACCGCCCGUCGCUACUACCGAUUGAAUGGUUUAGUGAGAUCUUCGGAUUGGCGCCACUGCGGCGCAGCAAUGGGCUCGGUGGAUGCCGAAAAGUUGAUCAAACUUGAUCAUUUAGAGGAAGUAAAAGUCGUAACA
rnacentral:rRNA from 1 species